rnacentral:rRNA from 1 species
UGGGGAAUAUUGCACAAUGGGCGAAAGCCUGAUGCAGCAACGCCGCGUGAGGGAUGAAUGCCUUCGGGUUGUAAACCUCUUUUAGUAAGGAAGAAGCCUUCGGGUGACGGUACUUGCAGAAAAAGCACCGGCUAACUACGUGCCAGCAGCCGCGGUAAUACGUAGGGUGCAAGCGUUGUCCGGAAUUAUUGGGCGUAAAGAGCUCGUAGGCGGUUUGUCGCGUCUGCUGUGAAAUCCCGGGGCUUAACCCCGGGCCUGCAGUGGGUACGGGCAGACUAGAGUGCGGUAGGGGAGAUUGGAAUUCCUGGUGUAGCGGUGGAAUGCGCAGAUAUCAGGAGGAACACCGAUGGCGAAGGCAGAUCUCUGGGCCGUAACUGACGCUGAGGAGCGAAAGCAUGGGGAGCGAACAGG